UGUUAUGUGGCUUAGUUGGUUAAAGCGCCGGUCUAGCGAAUACGGAGUCGUGGGUUCGAAGCCCACCAGAACAC
rnacentral:tRNA from 1 species